UACGAAGGGGGCUAGCGUUGCUCGGAAUCACUGGGCGUAAAGGGUGCGUAGGCGGAUUUCUAAGUCAGGGGUGAAAGCCUGAGGCUCAACCUCAGAACUGCCUUUGAUACUGGAAGUCUUGAGACCGGAAGAGGUAAGUGGAACCGCGAGUGUAGAGGUGAAAUUCGUAGAUAUUCGCAAGAACACCAGUGGCGAAGGCGGCUUACUGGUCCGGUUCUGACGCUGAGGCACGAAAGCGUGGGGAGCAAACAGG
rnacentral:rRNA from 1 species